CGCCACAAUAAGUACAAUCUCUUGUCUCUUUAUAUUUACCCUGAAGUCCUGCAUGUGCGAGCCCCCUCCGGCCCCUCAACAGACUCAUCUGCGGCUCUGCUCCACUCGUCUGCCUCGGUCAUGGCUCCGUGUCAGACGGACCACCACAAGAUAACUGGGGAAUUUUAACAGGAUGGAAUUCCCUCGAGACGAACCUGUCGAAGACAUGAAAAUCUCCUUGACUCCCUCCUGCAUGUGUUUCUAAAACGUGUCUCCCUCAGGUGAGUCCUGUGACUGCUCCUUCACACGGCAACGCCGCCCCUUAGAGUCGUUCUGGGAAACUAAUUAUUUCUCCAUUUCUCUGAUUCCUCAAUAAUAUUCUUUAUGUCACCACUUUAACAUAUUUACAGAAAAAGGGAAGAAAGAAAAGAGUCUCCUAGUGGCUUAGUGUUUUCAUCCAUGCGUCCGGGUCUGUGUGUUCUGUCUCCCUCGAGCCUUUAGCACAGUCCUUUGCAGCAGAAUCUGCGAGCCACUGAAUUUAUCAUGUGUUUGCUUCCGCAAUCAACAGUUUCUCCCGUGUUGAGAAAUCUGCUGCAGCCUGAUGUUUACUGUCACAACUGAACCAACAAUGAAACGUGUCAAAUUUAAUAAGGAAGGACAUUGGUUUAAAAUGUCCUUCCUUAUUAAAUGGGACAAGAAAUAAAAUUUUGUUUGUGCUCAUGUGCUGAGAAUUAAAGUUUAAGUAUAUGUAACACUUUUAAAAAUAAGAAAUUAACGAAGCCUCUACGUCCAAAAGAUCUUUGAGCUGGUGGUAUUGAGAUAUUACAUAAAUUGUCACUUCCUUCAUUGUGUUUUGUGCAGCUUUACGCUGUAAAUUAUAACUAAUUUAAUCUUCAACCUACAGCACCACUGAACGCAGCAGUCCUCUUCAUUUACUCUGCUGGCUACUGACACCUAACGCUGCUAAUAUUUAAGUAAAGUUAAUGCUAAACAGCAUGUAUUAAAUGUCAGUGUUUGCACUAGGUGUGUUGUAAUGAUUCAUUCACUCACAGACGAGGUGUUUCCGAGCUCUGAAAAAGUUGCACUCGGUGUUGAACUCUACGCUAAAAUGAGGAGAAUAUGUUUUUCGGUUCCACCUUGCAGUAACUUCAAUUGACCUUCACGUGAUUGAUAAGGUUUCCAUUUGCUGCUGAAUGUUCAUAAGGUAGUACUCAGCAGCAGGUGUUCUCUCCCCGUCACAUUUCCCCCGCAGGAGGUCAGAUGUCAGAACCUGGAAACUUUAAAGUUUGCCCCAGUUUACAUUUCAGGGAGCUGAUUCAGUUUCCAGAGCGACUUGAAUCGGUGAGCUGGGACCUGCUGUUGUGCUCGAUGUUUCUAACAGGACACAUGUCUUUGUGAGAAAACGCGAGGACACACGACAGCCGAGCUCGGUCAUUCAGAAUUAUUCCCUGCACUCAGAUUAGUUGGAAAUGAUUAAAUGUGCAAAUUCCUUUCAAACUGCCUUAAUGAGUCGAGUGCCUUUGUUAUUUAUGACACUGAAGCGUUUUUUUUUUUUAAGUGUGCUGGAUGGUGACGGAGAUUAUCUCUGCCUUUCGCCUUUGUACUCCUGAAGAAGAAACAAUGUAAAGUGUUUUCAAGAACAUGCUGAAAUAAAAAGAACAAUGGCUAACUGCA